rnacentral:tRNA from 1 species
GGAGCCGUGCCUGAAACAAAGGACCACUUUGGUAGAGUGAAUAAUGGGGGUUAAAGUCCCCCCGACUCC